rnacentral:lncRNA from 1 species
AUCCUAUCUCCCCUGUCUUCUCUGAGACUUAAGUAUUCCUCUGUCUAUAUCGUAAGAUCCUAGUAAAACCUGUAUCUCUGAAGUCAAAAGCAUCUCCUUGCUAGAUGUCUGUUUCAGUUCUUCUCUGCUGGAUUGGGUGCCAUGGCUUAUGAUUUCUAUGCCAUCAUCUCUAAUCCACUGCUGUAUGCUCAAUCUAUGUCAAAGAAGUUGUACAUCUACUUACUUGUAUAUUCCUAUAAGGAGUGAUGUCAACACAAUAAAUGUUAUUAACAAGCAACACAUUCACGUUGAACUUUUAUGGUGACAGUGUCUUUGAUGAUUUUUUUUUUCUGAGAUGUCUGGUGAGGUUGGCAUGGGAUAUUAAGAAGAGUUACAAGUUUGCACUGUACUUCCUUCUAACAUGUAAUGUCAUUACUCUUACCCUGUUUAUCUUGGCUUUCUAGAUCUUCAUCAUUGCUGCCAUUUUGAGGAGCCAAUCCACUGAGAUUACUUCCUUGUUUUUUUUACACCUGCUUCUCACACCUUAUCUCUGUGACCUUAUAUCAUGAAUCCAUUCUCCACAUAUACUCUUGCCCAAGUUUUAGAUACUCCCUAAAGAGGGACAGACUGGUGUCUACCUUUUAUAUUCUAUUAUUUCCCAUGCUGGAUACCAUGGACUACAGACUAAGGAAUAAAGAUAUAUAGGAAGCUCUGAGAAAACUCUUCAAGUUAUCUCAUUCUGAAGU